CUCUUCUGGUGACAGCCAGUGACAGGACAAGGGGCAAUGGGUGCAAACUGGAACACAGGAGGUUCCACUGAAAGAGGAGAAGCAACUUGUUCCUGGUGAGGGUGGCAGAGCCUGGCCCAGGCUGCCCAGGGGGUUGUGGAGUCUCCUUCUGUGCAGACAUUCCAACCCGCCUGGACACCUUCCUGUGUAACCUCAUCUGGGUGUUCCUGCUCCAUGGGGGAUUGCACUGGAUGGGCUUUCCAGGGCCCUCGGGAUCGCUGGCAUUCUGUGAUUCUGUGAAUCAUCCUCCCCUCGUUUUGCAGGUGCUCAGAAAGCAUUUACCAUGUCCUUGGUUAACGAUGGGUGCGUCUGUUGUAAGUGAAUCACAGUGUACAUGAACUGAGCCGCUUCUCUCCACUCUCCAUCCCCAGCUGUGCUCUCAGGCGGGCAGCCCCGCUGGGGCCGAUGCCCAGUGAGGAUCCUGAUGUCGGCAACUUAGGAGCGCUGGAAAAAUCCCGCAGUGUCAGUGGGUCCCUGAGGCUGGCGGAGAAGGAGCAGGGAGCCGCGCUGGGGGCAGACGGCCCGGCAGCACAGCAGCCCCAGCCGGGUCCUCGCCCAAGGGGCUGCGCCGUGCGGGGUUUGGAGGUCAAGACAGCUGUUGCUGGGGCUGCGUUUUGCCCCAAACUGUGCUCUGGAGAGAGCUGAUGAGGGGCUUUGGCACAAGGUUGGCCCUUUUCUGAUGGAGAAGUUUGCAGAGUGCAAAUGUUUCAGGGAACCGGAUGGCAGUUCUGGGAGGAGGGAGGCUGGCCAGGACCUGCCAAGAGACCUGGAGCAGAGUAGAGGAGUGAUUCCGUGGAAUCACAGGAUCAUUUGGUUGGAAAAGACCCUCAAGACCAUUGAGUCCAACCAUAACCCACCCCCAGCACUGCCCCGUGUCCUGAGAACCUCAUGUCCGUCUGUCCAGCCCUCCAGGGCUGGUGACUCCAGCACUGCCCUGGGCAGCCUGUUCAAUGCCCCACAGCCCUUUGGGGAAGAAAUUGUUCCCAGAUCCAACCUCAACCUCCCCUGGGCAACUUGAGGCCGUUUCAUCUUGUCCUAAACCCAGUAGUGUCAGAGGAACCAGAGCAGGAACCAGAGCUGUAGAGCACCUGCAGCAAAUAACCCAGUUUGGCUGCAGAGAGCAGAGCUGCUCCUGGGCUGGGAAACCGCUGGGCCUGGGGUGCGAUGAGCUGGGGGAGGAGGCGGCAGACGCGUGCAGGUGCCGAGGAAGGCAGAGGUGGUAGAUUCGAGUCUCUGCUGGCUUGGAGUUGGCGUCUCUUUCACAGCCACUCUAACGCUCUGCAGGCGUUUUGUGUUUGGGUAUUUUGGGUAUUGGAAUUUAUCAGGUAUGUGGUUUUUUCUCCCCUGUCUGAAGAGCCAAAGAACAACAUCAGCCUGCUGCGUGAGGAGCUGCUGCGGGCAAAGGAAAUCAAGGCAAGAAAGAAGACCCCGAGGGAGAACCGCCAGAACCUCCUGUAUCCAAACCAGCGUGGUCGGCAGGACAAGGGCAGUGACCCUUCCCCUGUGCUCUGCAUUGGGGAGGCCACACCUGGAGUGUUGUGUUCAGUUCUGGGCCCCUCAGCUCAGGAAAGAGAUUGAAGUGCUGGAGCGGGUCCAGAGAAGAGCAACAAGAUUGGGGAAGGGAUUGAACACAAGACCCAUGGGGAGAGGCUGAGGGAGCUGGGCUUGUUUAGUCUGGAGAAGAGGAGGCUUAGAGCUGAGCUCAGCACUCUCUAGAACUACCUGAAGGGCAGUUCUAGCCAGGUGGGGAUUGGGCUCUUCUCCCAGGCAUCAGCAAUAGGACAAGGGGCCAUGGGCUUCAACUCUGCCAGGGGAAAUUUAGGCUGGAGAUUAGGAAGCAUUUCUUUGCAGAGAGAGUGGUCAGGAUUGGAAUGGCUGCCCAGGGAGGUGCUGGACUCACCGGCCAUGGAGGGUUUUAAGCUGAGAUUGGACAUGGCACUUAGUGCCAUGAUCUAGUGAACGGGCUGGAGUUGGACCAAGGGCUGGACUGGAUGAUCUCUGAGGGCUUUUCCAACCCAGUCCAUUCUGUGAUUCUGUAAUGCCGAGCUGGAAAGAGCAGCGUGGCUCCGGACAGGUGUGUGCCCCGCCACCCCCUCCCUGCCCCGCGCUGGGUCCCCCGGUGUCACCUCCAGCGUUUCCCUCUCCUCGCAGCGCUGAUCCCCCUCGACGAGCUCAGAGCUGAGCGGGAGCAGAGCAGCGGCCCGUUCCACAAGCAGCGCGUGGCCGAGCACUGCGCGGUGUUUCGUGACUUGUUCCGAGGGGCCACGUUCCCCCCGGGUCACCUUGAGGGUGGCGUACAGCCAGGCAGACGAGCACGCCGUGCUGGUCUGCUAUGGGAACAUGGUGACUCCGUCAGAGGAGUGGGGGGUGCGGGGCACAGCCUUGGCCCCACGGGAAGCCUCGGUGGUUUCCUCAGACGCUCCCGAUGGGCAUUGUCUGCCCCGGGGGGUUUUGUUUAGAAGGGUAUUUGCUGUGUGAUGAUCCAAACUUGUUUCUUGGACGUGAUAAAGACAGAGCGUUGCAGCAGGACGGCUGUCUGUCAGCAGGCUGAUGCUUCUGAAGGCUCUGGGCGCUCUCCGGUGGAGCUGGAUGACUUGGUGUCGCGGCCAUGCCUGGUCUGUGCUGCGUCCUGGCCGUGCCCGUGCCCGGCUCCCAGUCCUCCCGCAGUGUCAUCCCAGGCAGAUAAAGGCUCCCUGCGGACUGUGCUGCUCACAAACCCAGAAGGACGUUGAAGGGACGCGCACUCGGAGCACCCGCGCUGGCUGGAGUGAGUACCGCACGGCAGAGCCGCGCUGCUGGGCUCGGGGAAAGCCCCGGCGGAGCGGGCAGAAACUCCUUCAACAGCGCUCGGGAAUACGGAUUUGCUGAGAUUUUCUGUGGUUCUCUGGUGCUCCUGCCAGUGCUGCUUCACGCCCAUGUUCUGGGUCCUGCUAAAGACGCAGGAGAUCAGGUGUUGCUGCUGUUUGGCUUUCAAAACGCUGAGUGUGAGGUUUUUUCCCAGUGAAAGCAGCCUCUGCUGUCUGUUUGCUUGUCAAACAGGGCGUAGGUUACGUCCCAACGGAGCCCAGAGUGAUGUGUGAUCCUGGGGGAAUCUGCUGGCCCUGGGGGAGGGAAAUGAACGGAUAUAUAGUGCAGUAAACUUGUGUGUGUUCAGGACGAACAUCCCAGGCAACGACAUGCAGUGGGGUAAGGAGAUCUGCCGCCACCUGCCCCCCUUCCCCGCCAUGGGCACUGGCUGCCAUCGCUUCAUCUUCUGCCCUUCAAGCCAGAACCGCCCAUCGACUCCAGCGAGGAUGUUGGCGCAGGCCCUGGUCACUGGGGCUGUUGCUGGGCGGUUCACGCUCUCUUGGCCAGGCUGUUCUUGCGUGUUCUGGUGACAAGGUCGUGACUGCUGGAGGAGAGCAAGUUCCUUGGAGUCUGCAGGGUUGCUCAGGGCUGCUCCGAGUUUGUGUGUCGCCUGAAGCCGCAAUCCCAGCCCUGCAAGCACUGUGCUGUCCUGUUGCUUUCAACCAGGCCGACUCGGGGGUGCUGUGGGGAAGUAGUUGCCAGCCAGAGUGCUGCAAGAAAAGGGAAUCACCUCAGCUCUUGUGCUUGUGUCUUGUUUCCAGCCACAGGCUCGAGAUGUGAACCUUGCGCACGUGUGACUUGUACAGAAAGCACGAGGAUGCCGUGACCCCGGCAGGGCUGCCGUUCCAACAGUGUUUCGAUGUUACAUUCUAUGGAAACGCCGUAGAACAAAUUGUGGCUGCUGUUGUUUAUCUGCUACAAUUUCUGUAGCAUUUUUAGACAAUUUUUGAAGUCGACUCUCGUCAGGAAUCCAGGAUCUUGUGCUGACCUGCAUGUUGCUCCUUCUGCACGUUGUCCUCGAUUAAUGCUGACCUGAGGGAUUUAUCUGCAGCACAACACGGUGUAGAUACUAAAUCAGGUCUGGAAGCCAUCUCAGGAGAUGGAUUAGCUCAUCAUUGCACCAAAAAUAGAAGGAAUGCUACUUCCUUGUUUCCUGUGCUUAUGUAAUAAGGCACAUACGUGGUAGUAACAGAGCCCGUGGCCCCUGUACUUCAUGUGCUUAUAACAGAGAAAAAAUAAAUUGUUAAAAUGAA